rnacentral:rRNA from 1 species
ACGGCGAGUGAAGCGGGAUGAGCUCAAGCUUAAAAUCUCCGUGCAAAUUUUGCAUGGCGAAUUGUAGUCUAUAGAGGCGUGAUUAGCGUAGGCACUUGGGGCAAGUUCCUUGGAAGAGGACAGCAUCGAGGGUGAUACUCCCGUUUAUCCCCGAGUUGCUUAUGCGUACAAUCCGUUUUCUUUGAGUCGCGUUGUUUGAGAAUGCAGCGCAAAGUAGGUGGUAAAUUCCAUCUAAAGCUAAAUAUUGGUGCGAGACCGAUAGCAAACAAGUACCGUGAGGGAAAGAUGAAAAGAACUUUGAAAAGAGAGUUAAAGAGUACCUGAAACUGCUGAAAGGGAACCAAAUCGUUUCCAGUGUCUAUAAUCCGUGGUAUAUUUCAUUGGCGAAUGUGUGCGUGCGUGUACUAUGGCAGCGGCUUUUUGCUGCGCCUUGUGUGUGUGUUGCACUUUCUCGCUGAUGCCCUGUACCGUGGUGGGACGUCAAUGUCGGUUCGUAAAUUGCGGGAAAUGACUGCCGAGGAGGUAGGGCGAACGCUUGCGUUUGUCUGUUAUAUCUGGGCGGACGUAGUAGUCGCGGUUGGGACUGAGGUGCCUACAAUGUGCUUAUGAGUGGGAUUGAUUCUCCGUGUGCGCCGUGUGCGGAUAGCUUGCUAUGCGUGUGUGGCUGCGUGUGGAUUGAGUCGAGACGUAACUUAUUGCCGUUCGGGACGUUGACGAAAUGGAGCGAUUUGACCCGUCUUGAAACACGGACCAAGGAGUCUAACAUGUGUGCAAGUGUUAGGGUGUGGAAACCCCAGCGCGUAAUGAAAGUAAAGGAUAGCGUAAGUUAUCUGAGGUAGGAAAUGCUGCGGGUUCGUCCUGCGGCGUGGCACUAUCGACCGAUCAUGAACCCUUGUGGUGAAAGAUUUGAGUUUGAGCACAUAUGUUGGUACCCGAAAGAUGGUGAACUAUGCCUGAGUAGGGUGAAGCCAGGGGAAACUCUGGUGGAAGCUCGUAGCGAUUCUGACGUGCAAAUCGAUCGUCAAACUUGGGUAUAGGGGCGAAAGACUAAUCGAACCAUCUAGUAGCUGGUUCCCUCCGAAAUUUCCCUCAGGAUAGCAGC